GCCGGGUGUGGUGGCAUGCGCCUGUAGUCCCAGCUACUCGGGAGGCUGAGGCAGAAGAAUCACUUGAACCCAGGAGGUGGAAGUUGCAGUGAGCCGAGAUCAUGCCACUGCCCUCCAGCCUGGGUAACAGAGUGAGAUUCUGUCUCAA
ensembl:misc_RNA Metazoa_SRP Metazoan signal recognition particle RNA